rnacentral:rRNA from 1 species
GAUGAACGCUGACAGAAUGCUUAACACAUGCAAGUCAACUUGAAUUUGGGUUUUUAACUUAGGUUUGGGUGGCGGACGGGUGAGUAACGCGUAAAGAACUUGCCUCACAGCUAGGGACAACAUUUGGAAACGAAUGCUAAUACCUAAUAUUAUGAUAAUAGGGCCUCCUAUAAUUAUGAAAGCUAUAAGCGCUGUGAGAGAGCUUUGCGUCCCAUUAGCUAGUUGGAGAGGUAACGGCUCACCAAGGCGAUGAUGGGUAGCCGGCCUGAGAGGGUGAUCGGCCAAAAGGGGACUGAGACACGGCCCUUACUCCUACGGGAGGCAGCAGUGGGGAAUAUUGGACAAUGGACCGAGAGUCUGAUCCAGCAAUUCUGUGUGCACGAUGAAGUUUUUCGGAAUGUAAAGUGCUUUCAGUUGGGAAGAAACAAAUGACGGUACCAACAGAAGAAGUGACGGCUAAAUACGUG